CGCCGCGUGAGGGAUGAAGGCCUCUGGGCUGUAAACCUCUUUUAUCAAGGAAGAAGAUCUGACGGUACUUGAUGAAUAAGCCACGGCUAAUUCCGUGCCAGCAGCCGCGGUAAUACCGGAGUGGCAAGCGUUAUCCGGAAUUAUUGGGCGUAAAGCGUCCGCAGGCGGUUUUAUAAGUCUGUCGUUAAAGCGUGGAGCUUAACUCCAUUUAAGCGAUGGAAACUAUAAGACUAGAGUGUGGUAGGGGCAGAGGGAAUUCCCGGUGUAGCGGUGAAAUGCGUAGAUAUCGGGAAGAACACCAGUGGCGAAGGCGCUCUGCUGGGCCAUAACUGACGCUCAUGGACGAAAGCCAGGGGAGCGAAAGGGAUUAGAUACCCCUGUAGUCCUGGCCGUAAACGAUGAACACUACGUGUCGGGGGAAUCGACCCCCUCGGUGUCGUAGCCAACGCGUUAAGUGUUCCGCCUGGGGAGUACGCACGCAAGUGUGAAACUCAAAGGAAUUGACGG
rnacentral:rRNA from 1 species